UUCCCUGCGUAGUGCGUAAAGACUGGAAUUUUAGAACCAACAAACGUUAAACGGGAGUCCGCCUUUGGAUGUGGCGUGUAAGCUUACCAACAGAAUUGUAAGAAACCCAGGAGCAUCCAACAAGACACCCACCUGUGAAAGCAGGUCCUUAAAAUUUCUUUCACUAGAACGGCUAAUGCGGGGCUU
rnacentral:other from 1 species